rnacentral:rRNA from 1 species
UACGUAGGGUCCGAGCGUUGUCCGGAAUUAUUGGGCGUAAAGGGCUCGUAGGCGGUCCGUCACGUCGGGCGUGAAAACUCAGGGCUCAACCCUGAGCGUGCUUCCGAUACGGGCGGACUAGAGGUAUGCAGGGGAGAACGGAAUUCCUGGUGUAGCGGUGGAAUGCGCAGAUAUCAGGAGGAACACCGGUGGCGAAGGCGGUUCUCUGGGCAUUACCUGACGCUGAGGAGCGAAAGCGUGGGGAGCGAACAGG